GGGAGGUAUGGACAGAUUUGACAUUUGAAUACUCUUCGAGCGACGGGGAAGUGCCUGACUGGAUAAAUUGGGCUGAACCAAAAAAACCGGAAGGGUGUGUUAGUAUAAAUUCAAAGUGCCUUUGGAGAGACGAAGGUUGUAGGCAAAAGAACAAGUUUGUCUGUCAGUAUGACCGUUCAGUGCCUACUGAGUGCAGCGACCAGAGGGAUGACUGUGAGACACUAGUGAAUGAAUAUUCCACAUUCUGUGAUGAUUGGAAGAGUUCAUUCGCUGUAACAAACUGUGCCAAGACAUGUGGAUAUUGCAAGUAGUAAAGGACCAUAUCACCAGCCUUUACUACUAUUACAAGAUCUGAUUUAUUUUAACUUUUUCUAUUUUGUUAUCGUUUUCUUGUUAAUUUCAUUCAAGUUUUGAUUGUUUAAUUCAAAUUUAGACAGAUAGUUUAGUAUAUAGGUAUUUGUUACGUCGGAAGGGUUUGAAACGUUUUUAAAAUACUACCAUGUAAAGAACAUUUAUACGAAGCUUAUUCGUUUCAGUUCCAGCCCAUAAAGUAAUAUAUGUCCCUGAUCGGUGGCUGAAAAAUUGUUCGAAUGGUAGAAUAACCUUUAAUUAGGUAAAAACAAAAUGGUUUGCCAGAAAACAUUUUACAAAACUAUUGCACAAGCAUGGCAUAGGAAAACUAUUUACAAUAUUUCAGUAUAAGAUGUGCAACUUGUAAACCGGAAAACUAUAAAAAAAAUAUAAAAAAAAAUCUAUAGACUAUUCUUGCUAGUUUUCUGUGAAUUCUGUUCUUACAAUGUGCAAU
rnacentral:lncRNA from 1 species